GGUUAAGCGACUAAGCGUACACGGUGGAUGCCCUGGCAGUCAGAGGCGAUGAAGGACGUGCUAAUCUGCGAUAAGCGUCGGUGAGGUGAUAUGAACCGUUAUAACCGGCGAUUUCCGAAUGGGGAAACCCAGUGUGUUUCGACACACUAUCAUUAACUGAAUCCAUAGGUUAAUGAGGCGAACCGGGGGAACUGAAACAUCUAAGUACCCCGAGGAAAAGAAAUCAACCGAGAUUCCCCCAGUAGCGGCGAGCGAACGGGGAGCAGCCCAGAGCCUGAAUCAGUGUGUGUGUUAGUGGAAGCGUCUGGAAAGGCGCGCGAUACAGGGUGACAGCCCCGUACACAAAAAUGCACAUGCUGUGAGCUCGAUGAGUAGGGCGGGACACGUGGUAUCCUGUCUGAAUAUGGGGGGACCAUCCUCCAAGGCUAAAUACUCCUGACUGACCGAUAGUGAACCAGUACCGUGAGGGAAAGGCGAAAAGAACCCCGGCGAGGGGAGUGAAAAAGAACCUGAAACCGUGUACGUACAAGCAGUGGGAGCCUCUUUAUGGGGUGACUGCGUACCUUUUGUAUAAUGGGUCAGCGACUUAUAUUCUGUAGCAAGGUUAACCGAAUAGGGGAGCCGAAGGGAAACCGAGUCUUAACUGGGCGUUAAGUUGCAGGGUAUAGACCCGAAACCCGGUGAUCUAGCCAUGGGCAGGUUGAAGGUUGGGUAACACUAACUGGAGGACCGAACCGACUAAUGUUGAAAAAUUAGCGGAUGACUUGUGGCUGGGGGUGAAAGGCCAAUCAAACCGGGAGAUAGCUGGUUCUCCCCGAAAGCUAUUUAGGUAGCGCCUCGUGAAUUCAUCUCCGGGGGUAGAGCACUGUUUCGGCAAGGGGGUCAUCCCGACUUACCAACCCGAUGCAAACUGCGAAUACCGGAGAAUGUUAUCACGGGAGACACACGGCGGGUGCUAACGUCCGUCGUGAAGAGGGAAACAACCCAGACCGCCAGCUAAGGUCCCAAAGUCAUGGUUAAGUGGGAAACGAUGUGGGAAGGCCCAGACAGCCAGGAUGUUGGCUUAGAAGCAGCCAUCAUUUAAAGAAAGCGUAAUAGCUCACUGGUCGAGUCGGCCUGCGCGGAAGAUGUAACGGGGCUAAACCAUGCACCGAAGCUGCGGCAGCGACGCUUAUGCGUUGUUGGGUAGGGGAGCGUUCUGUAAGCCUGCGAAGGUGU
rnacentral:rRNA from 1 species